GGUUAUUAUUUGGGAAAAAAUAUUUUUAAAAACUUAUUUUAUUUAUAAAAAAAAUUGAUUUUUGGAGAUAUUUCCAAAUCGAUCCCGCUCACGUAAAAGUUUAUGUAUAUGAGGUCUUU